rnacentral:rRNA from 1 species
UACAGAGGUCUCAAGCGUUGUUCGGAUUCAUUGGGCGUAAAGGGUGCGUAGGUGGCGCGGUAAGUCGGGUGUGAAAUUUCGGGAGCUUAACUCCGAAACUGCAUUCGAUACUGCCGUGCUUGAGGACUGGAGAGGAGACUGGAAUUUACGGUGUAGCAGUGAAAUGCGUAGAGAUCGUAAGGAAGACCAGUGGCGAAGGCGGGUCUCUGGACAGUUCCUGACACUGAGGCACUGAAGGCCAGGGGAGCAAACGGG